AGAACCAUGUAAAAUGUGCCCCAAUAAUUGAUCUGUUAACAUCUUUAUACAUUUAUUUGUCUCUUUUAGUAAUCAUUAUGUUGCAACAUUUCAGAUCCUGAACAAUUGCUUCGUUGAUGAUUUGUGCUCCUGUCUGGAUAAGACCUACUCAUAAAAGAUCCUGGCUGGGAUAGCCUUUGUCAGCUCCCUCCUUAUUGUUGUGUUAUAGCUGGACUGCGGAGCUUGCAUGUGAUGGAGGCAGAAUUUGUCUUACUACUACUACUACUCCCCUUCUCUCAAAGUUCCUUACACAACUUGACCAACGCACUGAGCAGCUCAUGAAAGUGUUGAAGAACAAAGGAGGCUCUGCAGGGAGCAAAAUCAGGAUCAUUAUGGCCCCAAUGACAGAGGGAGCUUGAGAAGUCACCUUUGGUAUCUACAGCAUCAAUGUUAAGGGAGGUGAU